rnacentral:rRNA from 1 species
GAUGAACGCUAGCGGGAGGCUUAAUACAUGCAAGUCGAACGGUAAGGUCACUGCUUGCAGUGAUACACGAGUGGCGAACGGGUGAGUAACGCGUACACGACCUACCUUUAAGUCUGGGAUAGCCCUGGGAAACUGGGAUUAAUACCGGAUGUGAUAGUGGUUUUACAUUACUAUUAAAGAUCAGUCGCUUAAAGAUGGGUGUGCGUACUAUUAGCUAGUUGGUGAGGUAAAGGCUCACCAAGGCUACGAUAGUUAGGGGGCGUGAGAGCGUGACCCCCCACACGGGUACUGAGACACGGACCCGACUCCUACGGGAGGCAGCAGUAAGGAAUAUUGGACAAUGGGGGCAACCCUGAUCCAGCCAUCCCGCGUGUAGGAAGACUGCCCUAUGGGUUGUAAACUACUUUUAUCAGGGAAGAACAGUUGACAUUUAUGUUGGCAUGACGGUACCUGAAGAAUAAGCACCGGCUAACUCCG